rnacentral:rRNA from 1 species
AGAUAGGGCUUCCCUUGUGGUUGGUGUACAGGUGGUGCAUGGCUGUCGUCAGCUCGUGUCGUGAGAUGUUGGGUUAAGUCCCGCAACGAGCGCAACCCUCGUUCCAUGUUGCCAGCGCGUAAUGGCGGGGACUCAUGGGAGACUGCCGGGGUCAACUCGGAGGAAGGUGGGGAUGACGUCAAGUCAUCAUGCCCCUUAUGUCCAGGGCUUCACACAUGCUACAAUGGCCGGUACAGAGGGUUGCGAGACCGUGAGGUGGAGCGAAUCCCUUAAAGCUGGUCUCAGUUCGGAUCGGGGUCUGCAACUCGACCCCGUGAAGUCGGAGUCGCUAGUAAUCGCAGAUCAGCAACGCUGCGGUGAAUACGCUCCCGGGCCUUGUACACACCGCCCGUCACGUCACGAAAGUCGGUAACACCCGAAGCCCAUGGCCCAACCCUUGUGGGGGGAGUGGUCGAAGGUGGGACUGGCGAUUGGGACGAAGUCGUAACAAGGUAGCCGU